ACAAACAAAGACAGGCUAAGGCUAACUUCUGGACUAUAAAUGAUUGGUGACUAUAAACAUGACGUCAAUGGCUCAUUAAAUACAAGCGCAGAUAAUCGCUUAAUCAACACAUUGAAAGAAACUUUAAAGUUUCAAUAGUUUUCUCUGUUAUGUACAUAAAGGGGACGUUACUGGACAAAGUUAACAGAGUUGGCUGCCCCUGGCGCUCUUAACAAUUGGUCACAAAGAUUUAUUGUCACUUUUUGGUGUUUCAGAGACAUGGUGAAAUUUCAGAAAAAACAACUUUUAUAACUUUUAAUAAUUCCUAAUUUUUAAAUACAAUACACUUGGUAUGACAAACUAGAAAACACCAAACUGUGGGAGAUGAGUGGACAGAACAAUAUAUAGGUGCAGAUCUUAGAGAGAAAGUUGGGAUGGAUUGGUUAUACCUUAGAAAAGAUGUAUACAACAGAGGUACACAGGUUCUAGAGUAGAAUCCCAAGGGCACAAGACGUAGAGGAAGACCAAAAAGAACAUGGCGUCGCAGUAUACUAUAAUUUCUUCCACUUCCCAUUCUCCGAUCAAGUUGAAACUUUGCAAAAUUAUUCAUUGCCAAAGACAAUACAUGAAUGAAUAAAAAGAAAUAUUUAAAAAACUAGUUCAUUAUUUAGAGGUAAUUGAUUAAUUUUAUUUUAUAUAGAAAAGAAGAUAUAAAUCUUGCAAAUUAAAUACAUUAAUA